CUGAUUAGGCCAGUUUCCCUUUACUAUUUUACGUUUUUAACUAUACAAUCUACUGUGUUAGGUAUAUUCACAUUUUUGUGCAACCAGUCUUCAGAACUUUUUGAUCUUGCAAAACUGAGACUCUAUACCCAUUAAACAACAACUCCCCAUUUCUCCCUCCCCUCAGUCCCUGGUAAUCAUCAUUCUGCUUUCUGUCUCUGCAUUUGACUGGAUAACCUCAUUUAAGUGAAAUGAUACAGUAUUUGUUUUGUGACUGGCUUAUUUCACUUAGCAUAGUCCUCAGGGUUUAUCUAUGUUGCAGCAUGUAUCAGAAUUUCCUUCCUUUUUAAGGCUGAGUAAUAUUCCACUGUGUAUGUAUAUGCCACAGAAAUCAAGCUAAUUUUCUUUUUUAUUAUUAUUAUACUUUAAGUUCUAGGGUACAUGUGCACAAUGUGCAGGUUUGUUACAUAUGUAUACAUGUGCCGUGUUGGUGUGCUGCACCCACUAACUCAUCAUU
rnacentral:lncRNA from 1 species